rnacentral:rRNA from 1 species
GUUGAUCGGCNNCACAUUGGGACUGAGACACGGCCAGACUCCUACGGGAGGCAGCANGUGGGGAAUAUUGCGCAAUGGGGGGAACCCCCUGACGCAGCAACGCCGCGUGAAGGAAGAAGGGCCUUCGGGUUGUAAACUUUUUUGAUUGGGGAAGAACAAAAAUGACGGUACCCAAGGAACAAGCCACGGCUAACUACGUGCCAGCAGCCGCGGUAAUACGUAGGUGGCGAGCGUUGUCCGGAAUUACUGGGUGUAAAGGGCGUGUAGGCGGGAUUGUAAGUCAGAUGUGAAAUUCCAGGGUGCUUAACUCCUGGAGGGGUGCAUCUGAAACUAUAAUUCUUGAGUGGGCUGGAGAAAGGAAAGCGGAAUUCCCUAUGUGUAGCGGUGAAAUGCGUAGAAUAUUAGGAAGAAACACCANNGUGGCGAAGGCGGCUUUCCUGGACAGUAACUGACGCUGAGGCGCGANAAGCGUGGGGGGAGCCAAACAGCGAUUAGAUACCCUGGUAGUCCACGCUGUAAACGAUGGAU